CGCUGCCGACACGAUCGAGCGAUGUUGUCGCUGCUGCGUUGUUGUUCCGCGAUGCUGCUGCCGACAUUGUCGCGGUGUUGCAGCUCAAUUCUGGCCCGCCAGUGAGUUGAUACUAGAGCAGGUUUCUGGUUGGAUUCGCGAAGUUUAAGGUGAGGACGGAAAUUCAUAGAGGAACUUUAUAUUCGAAGACUUCCAAAUGUAAAUUGUACUUGGGUUUAAAUAUGUAUUAGUUAUAUUAGUCUUGUUGAGGUUUUGAUUGAAGAUUUCUUUAAUUAGUUUGUGAUACUGAUUAGUGCCAUUGGGUUUGAUUCCCUCUUGAGGUUGUUUCCGCAAAAGCGUUGUCGGUUUUAGGAUUUGAGAUGGAGAAUAUUAUAUUUUAUUGAGUUUGUAAACAGGUUUAAAUUAUUUCCCA